UAAAAAGUGUGCAGACGGUAACUGGGCUGAGGAGCUGUUUGCAGAGCGUCUGAAGAUGAAUGCCAGAGGACUUGGAUCUCAGCUAAAGGACAGUAUUCCAGUUACUGAACUUUCAGCAAGUGGACCUUUUGAAAGUCACGAUCUUCUUCGGAAAGGUUUUUCCUGUGUGAAAAAUGAACUUUUGCCUAGUCAUCCUCUUGAAUUAUCAGAAAAAAAUUUCCAGCUCAACCAAGAUAAAAUGAAUUUUUCCACGCUGAGAAACAUACAAGGUCUAUUUGCUCCACUGAAAUUACAGAUGGAAUUCAAGGCACUGUAGCAGGUUCAGCGUCUUCCAUUUCUUCCGAGCUCAAACCUUUCACUGGAUAUUCUGAGGGGUAACGAUGAGACUAUUGGAUUUGAGGAUAUUCUUAAUGAUCCAUCACAAAGUGAAAUAAUGGGAGAACCACACUUGAUGGUGGAAUAUAAACUCGGCUCUGAUGCUACAGCUUUUGCUUCAAGUGACCUACCUAGUUCUCUUGUGACAUUUGGCCAAGGAAAGGUCCUGGGAUCAGAUCCAGUAUCAGACUGA